rnacentral:rRNA from 1 species
UACGAAGGGGGGCUAGCGUUGCUCGGAAUUAUUGGGCGUAAAGGGUGCGUAGGCGGCCUGACAAGUCUGAUGUGAAAUCCCUGGGCUCAACCCAGGGCCUGCAUCGGAAACUGUCGGGCUUGAGUAUGGGAGAGGUGAGUGGAAUUUCCGGUGUAGCGGUGAAAUGCGUAGAUAUCGGAAGGAACACCUGUGGCGAAAGCGGCUCACUGGACCAUUACUGACGCUGAGGCACGAAAGCUAGGGGAGCAAACAGG